rnacentral:rRNA from 1 species
GAUAAACGCUGGCGGCGUGCUUAACACAUGCAAGUCGAACGAAGUUUUUCCUUUUGGGGAAACUUAGUGGCGGACGGAUGAGUAACGCGCGGGUAACCUGCCCUGUAUAGGGGGACAACAGCUUGAAACGGCUGCUAAUACCGCAUAAGCACUUAGCACUGCAUCGUGCUUAGGGAAGAGGAGCAAUCCGGUACAGGAUGGACCCGCGUCUGAUUCGCCAGUUGGCAGGGUUACGGCCUACCAAAGCGACGAUCAGUAGCCGAUCUGGGAGGAUGUACGGCUAGAUUGGGACUGAGGCCCAGCCCAGACUCCGAGGGGAGGCAGCAGAGGGGAAUAUUGCACGAGGGAGGAAGCUCCGAUGCAGCGACGCCGCGUGAGUGAGGAAGUGUUUCGGUAUGUAAAGCUCUAUCAGUAGAGGAGAAAGUGACGGUACCUGACUAAGAAGCACCGGCUAACUACGUG